rnacentral:rRNA from 1 species
GACGAACGCUGGCGGCGUGCUUAACACAUGCAAGUCGAACGGAAAGGCCCUGCUUUUGUGGGGUGCUCGAGUGGCGAACGGGUGAGUAACACGUGAGUAACCUGCCCUUGACUUUGGGAUAACUUCAGGAAACUGGGGCUAAUACCGGAUAGGAGCUCCUGCUGCAUGGUGGGGGUUGGAAAGUUUCGGCGGUUGGGGAUGGACUCGCGGCUUAUCAGCUUGUUGGUGGGGUAGUGGCUUACCAAGGCUUUGACGGGUAGCCGGCCUGAGAGGGUGACCGGCCACAUUGGGACUGAGAUACGGCCCAGACUCCUACGGGAGGCAGAAGUGGGGAAUAUUGCACAAUGGGCGGAAGCCUGAUGCAGCAACGCCGCGUGCGGGAUGACGGCCUUCGGGUUGUAACCCGCUUUCGCCUGUGACGAAGCGUGAGUGACGGUAAUGGGUAAAGAAGCACCGGCUAACUACGUG